CCGUUUAACCGCCGCCACUGGUCGGUUGAUGUUAUUUCCAGUUUGUCAUUUGAGUUUUUACAAGUUUGCACUGCGUAUGCAGGCCGAAAAAACUAUUUUACCUGUUCAAGUGCAUUAAAAUUAACAGCAUCAGCAGUAAAGAUAGGUGAAUUUCAUCCGGUUUCCCACAGGUACUCAUAUUGAAUCGAGAAAAGACUGGAAUUAUGAAGAUAAAAACGAUGCUGCUGUUUUGAACGAUAUCGGAAUCAGUGUUUGCGAUGAAGGUGCUAACGAACAAGCAAUUAAAAACUGAUAGCUAAAAAAACCGACAAAAAAGUGUACCUGAGCAACUGCUCCGAAAACGACAGCAGCGGCAUUAAAUGAUGCUGAACAGUUUAGUUACUAUCUGUUACUAUACCCUGCUGCAAAAAUCGCAUCGAGUCCAAGAAAAUACUGGAAAUAUGAAGAUAGAAAGUGAAUGAGUUUGGAAGCUGCUUCUGACAAAAUCGAAAUCAGUGCUUCCAAUAAGAAUGAACAACGCAAUUGGAAACGGUUCCUGUUAAGGCUGCUUGCUGUGUGCAAUCGAGGAAGAUGCGCUUCCGACCGGUGUGCAGGGAGAUUGGCGGCUCAAGAACGAGCGACCUGAAGCAUGACUUUUGACGGUUUUGUUCCGGACAACAUAGGUAGGAUGACCAUCACCGGUAGGAUAGGAUAGGUUAUGUAAAAUAUUCUGAAACGGUAACGCUCUACCCCAUCGGAGAAAUAUUCGGGAAUGGACAAGCUUCGAAUAGAAGGUUUCAAAUUCAUGGAAACAAACCGUCCGGACGAAUGACUGAAGUAGCCGCCUGCACACAAAA